UACGUAGGGUGCGAGCGUUAAUCGGAAUUACUGGGCGUAAAGCGUGCGCAGGCGGCUUCUCAAGUCAGGGGUGAAAGCCCAGAGCUCAACUCUGGAAUUGCCUUUGAGACUGAGUGGCUUGAGUACGAGAGAGGUGAGUGGAAUUCCCAGUGUAGAGGUGAAAUUCGUAGAUAUUGGGAAGAACACCGGUGGCGAAGGCGGCUCACUGGCUCGUAACUGACGCUCAUGCACGACAGCGUGGGGAUCAAACAGG
rnacentral:rRNA from 1 species